ACUGUCAAUGCGGUGGUAUAGAGGUUGGGUGAGAACUGGACGUGUUGCAUCAUUAUCAAGCAGACCCAUCCCCAGCAACGUCAACCUAAAGAAGGAAAGGUCGGUUUGCAUUUCCUUCACGCUCGAAGGUCAAAGGAGAUCAUAACGUAAAACGUGUCAUGCGACGGGGUAGAGGUUGGGUGAGGACGACACGUGUUGCAUCAUCAAGCUGGUACAAUAGCCGCAAGGCUUAAGAGGUGGGUAAGGGUGAACAAAAGUCGUAUAAAAGGAGAGAGAAAAGGCGUCUGAAAUUAGUUGAGAGAGCAUCUCCGACACGGCAAGAACUGCUGUACACCAUUUGUCACCAAUUGCAUUCUUCAAUGCAAUUAGUUCGCAAUCAUAAAUUAUUAAUUAUCUAGUAAACUAUGGCGUCCUGCUGUUGGGUGUUGAAUCGUUGACGGUUAGGUCGACCACUGGUGUACCGAUGUCUCCUGGGUAUGGUGGAUAUCAAAGAACAACAUUACUCAACAUCAACCAACAUCGCUGCUAACGCUGCUCCAGCUUACUACACCAAGGCUCCAAAGUACUACACCACCAAGACUUCAGAGUAUUACAAGUUGCAUCAAAGAAGAGAAAAGGCGAAAUAAUCAGUCGAGUGAUUAUCUCCGACACGACAACAACUGCUGUGCACUUUUUCUCUAAAUCGCAAUCUUGCAUCAAAGAAUAGUAAAGGCGAAAUAAUCAGUCGAUUUAUUAUCUCCGACUCCGACACGACAACAACUUCCGUGCACUAUUUGUCAUCAAUGCCUUCUUCAUCGUAUGUAGGGGUAAAUUUUCAGUUUUCUAAAUGGAAUUGUGAAUCAACUCUCCUGUUUGUUUGUAUUUUUAAAUUUAUGUCGGUUAUUAUUGCAAAUUUAUGUUCCAAUUAUUUAUUGCAUAGCAAACUGUGGCGUCGUUAUGCUAUUGGUUGUUGUCCUGAAAUACUACAUCACCGAGGCUUGGCUUCAAAGUAUUACGCUACAACUUAUGCUCCCCCGAGCUGCAUAACCAAAGAGCCCGAGUACUGCAUCGUGAUUCCAUUUUUUUUAAGCAAAAUCUAUUGGGUAUUAAUUUUGAUAUUGGUUGUUUGUUGACCCAUCCCCGGCAACGUCAACCUGCAGAAGGAAAGGCCAGUUUGCAUGUCUUCACUUUCGAAGGUCACGGAGACCAUUACGUAAUACUGUCAAUGCGGCGGUGUAGAGUUUGGGUGAGAAUGGGAAGUGUUUGCUUUAUUAUCAAGCAGGUAUAAUAGCCGCAGGGCUUACGAGAGGGGUCAGGGUGAGAAAAGUCGUAUGAAAGGAGAGAGAAAAGGCGUUAGAAAUCAGUUGAGUGAGGAUCUCCGACACGUCAACAAAUGCCGUGCACUAUUUGUCACCAACUACCUUCUUCAUCGCAUAACCAGUUCGCAAUCACGGUUUAGAUAACUAUGGCGCCGUGCUGCUGUUUUGUGUUGAAUCGUUAAUGGUUGGGUCGACCAUGGGUGUACAGAAGUCUCCUGGACGUGAUGGAUACCAAGCAACAGCAGCGAAAGAAUACUACACCACGCCGCCGCCUUACUAAAGUCAACAUACGCAACAUCUACUUACUACGCCGAGCCCCCAAGUGCUACACCACUAAGACUCAAGAGCUACGCAACAAAUUACGCUGAACCGAGUUGCAUUUACCAAAGCGCCUGAGUACUACACCAACGAGUAUACUGUCCCAGCCUGCUACACCAAAGUCCCCAAGUAUUACACGACUACGAAUGUUGCCCCAGUCUACUACACCGAGGCUCCAGCUUAUUUCAAUACCAAAGCGGUCGAGUACUACACCGAACCGCACAAGUACUACUCUGCCCCGAACUACACAACCACAACUGAGGCGGCGGAGUACACAGCAGCUGCUCCUUCGUACUAUGUUGAACUGAAAUAAUACCCCGAGGCUCCAGUUUACUACACCGCAACCCACGCUACACCUAGAUACUAUGACGAAGCCUCCAACUACUACACCGAAGAGGCCACAUAUUACACAACAACGUACACUGCCCCAGUUUACUAAGCUGAGGAUCCGAAGAAUUACUUUGCUCUAAGCUACUACCAAUCUGAGACUCUUGUUUACUACACCGAGGCCACUGGGUAUUACACUACAACCACAUGUUAACUACGGCGUCUUGCUGCUGUUGGUUGUGUUAUCCUCGAUGGUUGGGUCGGCCACUGAUGUCUUUUGAGUAUGGUGGAUACCAAACCGCAACGCCGGCGUCUUACUACACAACAACAUACGCAACAACCGGAUAUCACACCACCAAGGCCCCAGAGUGUUACACCGCAACUUAUGAUGUUCUGGACUGCUACAUCGAAGCCCUAAAGUAUAACUCUGCCACGAGUUACACCACCAAGGCACCGGGGUACUACACGACUACGUAUGCUGCCCCAGUCUUUUACACCGAUGCUCCCAAGUACUUCUCGGUUUCCAGCUACUACACCGAGGCUCCAGCUUAUUACGCCACCAAAGCGGUCCAAUACUACACUGUAGCGCCCUAGUACUACUCUGCACUAAUUACUACGAAUUACUACACAGCGGCUGCUCCCUCGUACUACGUUGGACCGAAAUACUACACUGAGGCUCAAGUUUACUACACUACAAUCCACGCUGCCCUCAACUACCAUACCGAGGCUCCGCUCCCAUACCGAUGUUCCAAAGUACUACACAACCAAGACACCCGAGUAUUAUAUCGCUACUUAAGCUGCUCUAACCUGCUGCACCGAAGCUGCGAAGUAUUCCACCGCCCCGAGUUACUACACCAUCAAGGUACCCCUGGAUAUUGCAUCACAACCUAAGCUUCUCCAGUUCACUAAAAGGAUGUUCUAAAAUACUAGAGUCAAAAUUUCUGACUUAGUUAUUUGUGUUCAAAUUUGUCGGUCGUAUCCUAAUAGUUACUAAAUGAGAAAAUACAUAUUUAAAUGGUA